rnacentral:lncRNA from 1 species
GACCUGAGCGCGUCUGGUGUGGGUGGACAAAAAAGCACGAGUGCGGAUCGGGUACUGGCUAGAGGCGGAGAGGGUAGUAAGUAGGGCUGCACGCACCAGUAGAUAACAGUAGCCAGAAAAUACUGGGCCGGUACCAAAGGAUACAACCGCCAGAUUGCCUUGUCAUCGGCAUCGCACCAACUACUGUGAAUGGUUCAGACUUCACUGGAGCUGCUGCUCAAUAUGGACAUCCUGGGUGGUGGUGUUUACUUAUCCCUGUCCUGGUCGUUGUUUGCAUUGGCAUCAUUACUUACAGGUGUAUCAAGAAGCGCAAAAUAAAAAACUAUGUCAUAUAAGGCACUCAGGACUACCCAUCCCUUAACCAAGCUAUUUGGACCCAACCCCCAGAGAAAGUGACAGGGACAGCACUCAGGACUACCCAAACCCCCAGAUCAGGAUGCUGCUGCGUUAUCUCUGCCUUAAUUCCAUCACUUUAACUCUUCUUCUUAAAGUUGUAAUCUUUUAAUACGUUUUCAUAUUCAUAUUCUUGUAAAUCAGUACCGUUAAACCAGUGCCUUGGAUAAUUUUUGGUCCUCUAAUACUGACACCAGCCGGCUAAAGCCUACUCUUAUUCUUAGGAAUAAGUAUGGAAAUACAAAUGUUUUACCCAUGACGCAUCUACCAGGGUAUUUUGAAUGGGGCAAAAAAGGAAAAUAUGUCCAGUUAUUAAUCAAGCAGAGAUAAGCUUAUUCAAAAGUUGAUGCACUUUAACCCACCAAUGAAUUAUAAUUUACACAUGUUCUAUAACACCCAUUCCACCUUUGAAACUUCAUAUGAGUCUGGUCUGCACAUGGCUGAGGGAGGAAUGUAGUGAUUUAUAAUACAAGUUAUUACCAUCAAGAUGAUGGUACAGGACCCCACUACUGAAAAUCAACCUGGGUUCAUAAAUGAUUUGUGCCAUCCAUCUCCCUAAUGAAAAGGAUUUAUCCUAGCCUUCACCACCACUGUACUGUAUGUAAAAGCAUUAUGUUGUACUGUGCUAUUUGUCUAUGUCAGUACUGUAUUUCUAAUGCUAGUGUUUGUGAAAUGCAGUAAGUCUAUUUACAAGUAUAUUUAUGCUGUAAAGCAGGGUUUCCCAAAGUCAUUUAAAUUGGUUAUUUGAAUCAGCUGUGUAGUGCUAGGGCAAAAAAGAUAUAUGGACCCAGGGUGGGCCCCACAACUGAGUUUGGGAAACCCUGCUGUACAUUAUGAGGCUGUAAUACUCUAUUCUAUACCAGUACUCAAGUGUUGGAGAAAAG